ensembl:lncRNA
GGGUGGGGCAGUAGCUAGGGAGGACAGUGUGGUUCUAACUUAUCAUCUUAAUUCAGAAGCUCCCAGGUUUUUUGUUUUUUUUUUUUCUUCUAAAGUUUACUUUCCUCCAUAAUUUGUUGUUGAGUUUUGUUAUUUUUUUUUUUAAGGUUUAUUGGGAAAAUUUGUGUCUAAACCUGUAUCUUUAACCUCAAGUAAGCACCUGCGUGUGUCAGGAACACAGUUUUUGCCUAUCGAAAGCCAUUUCUCCCUGCUUUCUCUUACUUCUCCUCUGCUAAUAAAACUCCAAUCUGAAACAGGUGAAGACCCUCGAUCUGUGGGAAGGCUGGUCCCAGGAGAAGGACCAUGACUGGCCUAAGCUAGCCAUUGUCAGCCCACUCCUCUUUGCCAGUGACUAUGGGCAUGAGACCUGGUCCUGGCCCGUGGACUUGUAUGUCAUCAUCCCUGCUCGAUAACUCACCCUACACCACCGUGGCAUCUGAUAUUUGACUUCAAAGAUGCCCGUUAACACCUUCACUCCGCCCUUAGCUUGAGCUACAGGCUUGGUGACCAGCAGGUGAAGAGCAGGAUGACUGGAAAGAGGUGGUCAGCAAGAUAGCUGGUGGGGCAAGUCACAAUGGAUUGGAGUCUGUUUCUUGGCCUGUACCAUGGAGCUGCUGCUGCUGCUGAGUUGCUUCAGUCGUGUCCGACUCAGUGUGACCCCAUAGACGGCAGCAUCAAGCCCCCUCCCUGGUCCUACACUUCAUGCUCCCUGUGGGCGUGUGCUUCAUACAAGCAUUGGUGCCGAUCAUGCUGGGCUAAGCUUGGCGACAAGGCACGUUCCUGCUUCCGCACAAUGACCACUCCUGCGGGCAGUGCAGCGUUGGGGGGCUCCUCUGAGGCACAGACAGAUGGAGGAAGAGGUCUGAGUUUUUAUUUCUGGCAUAGAUCUCCACAUUUAUGAAUCAGCUCUUGCUGAUUCACUUAGUGUGUUCACUAAGUGUGCCUCAAUCAGCUGGUGGCCUCAGAUAACCCUGUUCUUGAUGGUAAUGAGGCCACCCUGCGUUUUCUCUGUGAAUCACUGAGAUCCCAAACCAUCCAACAUCUGCAGAGCUUGAGCUGACAAGGCACUGCCUCCCCCGUUCCUCAUCUUUUCCAGAGCAAAACCCAAUUUGCCAUUGACUCUGCUCAUCAACUUUUGGAGAUAUCCAUAGGAGUGCUUGUUCCUAGAGAGCAAGUUUCAUGCUUUGCAGUAUCUUUCUCUCACACUCUUUAAUGGUGUUGAUAACAGGGAUUGAGUUCAAGCCUGUGUAAAAAGCGCUUACCAGGGCUCCGUUGGGUGCCAGGCCCUGAGGAUGGAGCACAGAGUGGCAGGUGCAGGUCUGGGCUCCUCUGAGCAGCGGGUGCCCAGGCCCGACCUCUAUGCUGGGUUCCCCCACCCCCCUAACUCUAGUCACAUUGUGGACAAAUCCUAUAACCUCAUUGGCUUCCAGCCUUGCCCUCUGAAAAAUUAGAGGGUGGGCCAUAAUGUGCAUGCAUGCUAAGUCGCUUCAGUCGUAUCCGACUCUGUGUGACCCCAUGGACUGUAGCCCGUGAGGGUCCUUUGCCCAUGGGAUUCUCCAGGCAAGAAUACUGGAAUGGGUUGCCAUGCCUUCCUUCAAGGGGUCUUCCUGAUCCAGGGAUGGAACUCGUGUCCCUUACGUCUCCUGCACUGGUAGGUGGGUGGGUUCUUUAUCACUGGCACUACCUGGGUAGCCUGGGCCAUCCCAUCUAUAAAGUGAGCCAUCUAUAAAGGCUCAGGAUUCUCAAUUUUUAAAUCUCGUGUCGAAUUAUUUAUGAAAUAGAUAAAAUCCCCUCCCCCCACUGCCCUUUAGUCCGAUAGGUCUAUAAACAAGUGUUUAGGACACGUUAAGGCAGAUUGAAAUUUUGUCAAAAAUAUGAACCCAGGCCUCCCACACUGCAGAUGGAUUCUUUACCAGCUGAGCCACCAGGGAAGCCCAAGAAUACUGGAGUGGGUAGCCUAUCCCUUCUCCAGGGGAUCUUCCCGAUCCAGCAAUUAAACCAGGGUCUCCUGCAUUGCAGUGGAUUCUUUACCAACUGAGCUACCAGGGAAGCCCCUGCAUGUGACAAAACUUGGGAGUAAAUAGUCACCGGAGCUAAUCAAUUUUCUUUUAUAAAUACUUCAACUACUGAUUCUGUAUGAUAUAAAUGCAAUAUCAGCCAGUUUCUAUGAAUUUACAGUUAAUGUCAUUAAUAGACAUGGGUAUAUUUAGCAGAUGAUUAUAUUUAGGAGUUGACUGUCUUAUGAUUAUGCCGAACAAGGUGUCACAUUGCUCUCAUUAUCUUAUGAAAGAAAGCUUCCUAAUAGAAACAGAAUCAUUGACUUAGAGAAUGAACAUACAGUUACCAGAGGGAAGGGUGUGGAGAGAAGGAGAGACUGGGAAUUUGGGAUUGACAUGUCCACCUGCUAUAUUUAAGAUGGAUAAUCAUCAAGGACUUACUGAAUAGCACAGGGAACUCUGUUCAAUAUUCUGUAAUAACCAUUCUGCUUCCCAGGGGCACUAGUAGUUAAGAACCUCCCUGCCAAAGCAGGAGAUGGAAGAGAUGUGGGUUUGAUCCCUGGGUCCAGAACAUCCCCUGGAGGAGGUUAUGGCAACCCACUCUAGCAUUCUUGCCUAGAGAAUCCCACAAACAGAGGAGCCUGGUGGGCUAUAGUCCACAGGUUGCAAAAAGUUGGAGAUGACUGAAGCAACUUGACACACACAAAUGUUCUUCACAGCGCCUGGAACAGGGC